rnacentral:tRNA from 1 species
GCUCCCAUAGCUCAACGGAUAGAGCAACAGCCUUCUAAGCUGUAGGUUAUGUGUUCGAAUCACAUUGAGAGUA